UACGAAGGGUGCAAGCGUUACUCGGAAUUACUGGGCGUAAAGCGUGCGUAGGUGGUUUGUUAAGUCUGAUGUGAAAGCCCUGGGCUCAACCUGGGAAUUGCAUUGGAUACUGGCAGGCUAGAGUGCGGUAGAGGGUAGUGGAAUUCCCGGUGUAGCAGUGAAAUGCGUAGAGAUCGGGAGGAACACCAGUGGCGAAGGCGACUACCUGGCCUGCUACUGACGCUGAAGCUCGAAAGCUAGGGGAGCAAACGGG
rnacentral:rRNA from 1 species